GCUCUUCUCUUCCAGCAGGCUGCAUCCUUCCCCGUCUGUAUUUUUCCACUCAGUCUCCCAGCCCCUGAAGUCUUCCUGCUGCUGGCCAGUGACCCGGUCUCAGGGGUCAACGUGCUGGGGUCUGGCUCAGCAGGGCAGCUGCCCCAGGAUCCAGCGUCUGGCAGCACAACGGCCCCCGGGCCACCUUCCCCAGAGCCCCAGCCCCCGGAUGCCCCUGUCCCCGAGGACACAGAGCUAGGGUCCCAACAGGCCCUGUGCCUGCGUCCAGCGCAGCUCUCCAAUGAAUCGGACACACUGCCUGAGGGAGUCAAACGCAGGAAGCGGCAAUUUCAUAUUUCUUUGCAGCACUGAAAUAUCUCCAACUAACCCACCAAAGAAGAAACACAUUCCCCCGAAGGCUGAGAAUUUAAACAGCACUGGUGUCCUGGUAGACCUCUGGCAACUGGUUUAUUAGAAAUGAAACAGAGUUACAGCCUUUCCAGCUCAACUCAGCAGGGUGAGGGGGCCAGGAUCCUCACUUUGUGAACAUCCUCAGCCUGUGCAAGAGAAAGGCAUGGAGAUGACUUAAUAGUGCCUACGGCUUGGACCUGCAGAACUCUCCCUCAGAGUCCCGAGGCGGCACCUGUGAGGACGCCUAGCUGGCUGCUCAAGAAUCCACUUGUGGGCCUGACUCCUGAGCCAGUGCUCUGCGUGAGAGUCCGCUGAACUAUGACAUUUCCCUCAUGAAGUGCCCACCUCCAGCACCGUAGAACACGGCCCUGUACCACCAAGCCUCCACAGACGGGUCAGCAGGUCUUUCGUGAACACAGGCAACCCAAGGAGAAAACAGACCACACACCUCAAAGGAAAGAAACUCCCUCUCUCCCACAAAAAAAGUGUUAUGAAAACUCUCAUUGACUUUACGCUAGCAGGAUCCUCCAAGCUCUUAAGGUCCCCAAACUCGGGCUCUGUGCUCGGCCUGUGAAAGGCAUUUUAGCAGGAAUCCUGCUUUGCCAGCAUCCCCUCAAAGUCUCGUGUCAUAGGAAGGUGGUCGGAUCACGGGAACCGAACUCAGUGCUGAGUGUGCUGUCGAGAGGCAGGGCAUGGUCAGAAGGGGCGGGUCGCUGGGGUGAGACCUGGGGAGGUCCAGCUCCCUCGCCUCUGCUCCCUGCUGUGAGCAGCUUUCCUCCAGACCCUGGCACCAUGCCUUGCUGCCUGGAGCCCCCAGGACAUGGACUAAAACUUCUGAAUUGUGAGCCAAAAUAUACCUCUGUUUCUCCAACUUGCAGGUGUCUGGUAUCAUGUCUCAGUGACACGAAAGUGAUGAACAGACAGUUUAGCAAGAACCCCUACUCGUGAUUUCUGAGCAGAUUUCUCAUUCUUCCACCUGCGAUAUCUUAUCCCUGUAGCCUACUUUCAGCAGGAACCCUGCUGAGCUGGCCUAGCAAGAGUCGUUGUGGCCUUAAUGCUGUCUCAGUAAUUUCCACUCACUGAUGCCCCCCCACUGUGCUCUUGACUGUAAAUCUGCACUUGUCCUUGUCGUACUUGGAGUUGAGUUCGAUUUUCCUCUCUUACUACUAAAUCCCUCUGUAGCACACCCCUCAUGACGUGAUUGUCUUCCUUACCAUUUUGAAAAUAAAUAAAUCCC